UACGGAGGGUGCGAGCGUUGUCCGGAAUCACUGGGCGUAAAGGGCGCGUAGGCGGUUCGCUAAGUGGCUGGUGAAAUCCCGGGGCUCAACUCCGGGGCUGCCGGUCAGACUGGCGGACUCGAGCACGGUAGAGGCGGAUGGAAUUCCCGGUGUAGCGGUGGAAUGCGUAGAUAUCGGGAAGAAUACCGGUGGCGAAGGCGUUCCGCUGGGCCGUUGCUGACGCUGAGGCGCGACAGCGUGGGGAGCAAAC
rnacentral:rRNA from 1 species